GAAGAAAAGAGCCUCAGCAGUGGUCUGGUGGAGCGGAGGAUAAAAAGAGGAACCCCAACGCUCAUGCACUGGCAAGGCCAAUCCAGCAGGGAC